AUAGGUCGGGUGUGGAAGCGCAGUAAUGCGUUAAGCUAACCGAUACUAAUUGCUCGUGAGGCUUGAUCCU
rnacentral:rRNA from 1 species